GCCUUUUUAGUGUAGUGGUCAGCACACUGGAGGAGUAUUCCAGAGGUCCGCGGUUCGAGUCCCGGCGAAAGCG
rnacentral:tRNA from 1 species